rnacentral:rRNA from 1 species
GUGGGGAAUAUUGGACAAUGGGCGCAAGCCUGAUCCAGCCAUGCCGCGUGAGUGAUGAAGGCCCUAGGGUUGUAAAGCUCUUUCACCGGAGAAGAUAAUGACGGUAUCCGGAGAAGAAGCCCCGGCUAACUUCGUGCCAGCAGCCGCGGUAAUACGAAGGGGGCUAGCGUUGUUCGGAAUUACUGGGCGUAAAGCGCACGUAGGCGGACAUUUAAGUCAGGGGUGAAAUCCCGGGGCUCAACCCCGGAACUGCCUUUGAAACUCCCAGUCUUGAGGUCGAGAGAGGUGAGUGGAAUUCCGAGUGUAGAGGUGAAAUUCGUAGAUAUUCGGAGGAACACCAGUGGCGAAGGCGGCUCACUGGCUCGAUACUGACGCUGAGGUGCGAAAGCGUGGGGAGCAAACAGGAUUAGAUACCCGAGUAGUCC